rnacentral:rRNA from 1 species
GGCUCCAGAUUAGCCAUGCAGUCUAAGUUCACAUCAAUCAACGAUGAAACUGCGAAGCGCUCAGUAAAUCAGUUAUUGUCCGUUCGGUCUUAUCAGCCAGGGAUAACUGUGGUAAAUCUAGAGCUAAUACCUAGCAAAUCUCGCACUUGUGCGGGAGCAUUUAUUAGACUCAACCAACUGGCCUCGGCCAAUUGACGAAUCCUAAUAACUGGGCAUAUCGAACAUUCAUUUGUCGAUAGUCCGAUCGAAUUUCUGCCCUAUCAACUAGUUGGUGAGGUAGUGGCUCACCAAGGUUGUGACGGGUAACGGGGGAUCAGGGUUCGAUUCCGGAGAGGGAGCCUGAGAAACGGCUACCACAUCUAAGGAAGGCAGCAGGCGCGCAAAUUACCCAAUCCAGACUUUGGGAGGUAGUGACGAGAAAUACCGGAGUAGACCGUUAAAUGGUUCACUAUCGGAAUGAACGUAAUCCAAUACCUUCGAUGAGUAGCAACUGGAGGGCAAGUCUGGUGCCAGCAGCCGCGGUAAUUCCAGCUCCAGUAGUGUAUAUCAAAAUUGUUGCGGUUAAAACGCUCGUAGUUGGAUUACAAAAGCUCUUUGGCGACCAAAUCUAGGUUUGGUCGCCGAGGGGUUUUUUUAUCGCGAGAGCCGCUCGUGGGAUUCAUUUCUUGUGGGCGGUCACUUGCGAGGUGUGCCUUGAAUAAAGCACAGUGCUCAAAGCAGGCGUUUGCUCGAAUGUUAUUAGCAUGGAACGAUUAAGUUGAUCUUGUCGACUGUUGGUUGUUGACAUUGGUCUCGAUUAAAAGGGACAUUUGAGGGCGUUAGUACUUGGUGGCGAGGGGGUGAAAUCCUUAGAACCAUCAAGACUAACUAAUGCGAAAGCAUUCGCCCAGAAGUGAUUUUUCAUUAAUCAAGAACCGUAAAGGUUAUGGCAAGU